rnacentral:rRNA from 1 species
UACAGAGGUCUCAAGCGUUGUUCGGAUUCAUUGGGCGUAAAGGGUGUGUAGGUGGCGCGCUAAGUCGGGUGUGAAAUUUCGGAGCUUAACUCCGAAACUGCAUUCGAUACUGGCGUGCUUGAGGACUGGAGAGGAGACUGGAAUUUACGGUGUAGCAGUGAAAUGCGUAGAGAUCGUAAGGAAGACCAGUGGCGAAGGCGGGUCUCGUGGACAGUUCCUGACACUGAGGCACGAAGGCCAGGGGAGCAAACGGG